rnacentral:lncRNA from 1 species
ACACCCAUGGCAGGUGGAAGUUCCCCGGCCAGGAAUUGACCCUGAGCCACAGCAGUGACUCGAGCCACAGCAGUGACAACGCCAGGCCCCCAGCCUGCUAAAACACCAGGGCACUCUCUUGCAUUGUUUUUUCAAUUGGAGUCGCUUACCUGACCCUGCUCAGCCGUAGCAUCAGUAGGGAAGAAGCUAGAUGGAAAGACAUCACCUGCGCCAUGAAGUUGAGAAGGACCAGCGGCCUGUGAUGGACUUGAAUCCAUAUUCCCAGGCUCACUGCCCCAUAUGCGGUUACACAGGACCCAGAAAUAUCACGCCACAAAGCAUGAGACAACAAAUCACCACAUCGCCAUUCUUUGAAAAAUAGACAUAAAAUGUCACCCACGCGUCAUCAGGGUCCCUGCCCCAGGAGGUCUGGGUGGACUUCACCCAUCCCAGCACUAUGGCCCGUGGCUGGCUGGAGCCCUCACCUGAUGUCCGUGCAUCUCUGUCCUCUGGGCCCCUCUGGCCUCACAGGAUGGCCCUGACCGACCCUGAGCCUCAGAACCUGCCUCGCCAGCAGUUUCCCACAAAACGCCUUCCACAUCAAGUGGUCUGUGCUUUUUUGUUUGCCGUGGGCUAGAGAUGUUGCAUGUCAGAGAAACAGUCGCCCACAAGGCACACAAAGAGACCAUCUCCUGAGUGUCCGCACUGCUUCUCCUGCCCCCUCCCCUUCCCCCUGGUGCGGCCAAGCGCUCCCCUCCUGAUUCUGGCCCCAGAGUCAGGUCUGUCCUUGGUCCCUUUAAGGUAUUAGCUUCUCCCCGUAGUUAAUGCAUGAAGAAAAUCCCUCCCUCUCUGUCUCUCUCUCCCCGUCUCAUUCUCCAUUAUGGACUUUUGGUGAUUCUGAGUUUCUGUCUCACUUCAUUCAAUACACAGUAGAGCUUAACAGGACUCUUCUUUAGAAAUUGCCUUAAAUAAUUGCCUUAAAUAGGAUUGUUGGGAAACACUGACUAUUUUCAAGUUUCGAUGGGGUCAGGGUCAGGGAUGUCUGAGCAGCGUGGUGGCACCUGGAGUGGAAGCCACUUGAACAGCCAUGAGCACAGCAGUGCGGGUUGCAAGUUGAAGAUCACGGCCCCUGGCGAGAUGGUCAGCUCUCUUGCCCCUGGAGACAGGUGUUGACGUUCCAAAGGGUAAUGAACCUGAGGACCUUCCUGUUCCCUCUCUUUCUCUCUGGGUUGGGGGUGGGGGGGACGGGGAGCAGAUGGACCCUCAGCUCCUAUAUUAGCUUCAAGAUUCAGUCUUGGAGUCCUUCCCCUGGGGUGCAAGCCCCUAGACAUGCAGAGUCAUCUGGGCCUCACAGCGGUUCCCCGAGGGAAGACGGCCCAUGAGCGACCAGCACGAGGAUGGCUGGGUCAGUAAGUCAACCUUGGAUCCAGAAAGCAUGUGUUUCCUCUCAGGACAAGUAAGACGUCUGGAUAUAAAAACACACAAUUUGGCACGAGGAUAUCCACUUUUUUGCAAUUUGAUAGAAGACGGAUCUCCAAAUUUUGAACUGCAUUGUUUCUUUGGAAACUGUUGACUGAAAGAAUAUGCACAACCUAAAAGUUGAGAGUUAAGUUUUAUUUGGAGCAAAAUGAGGACUUAAGCCCUAGGCGGCAGCAUCUCAAGUAACCCUGAGAAAAGCGGUCCAAGGAAGCGAGGCGGGAGCUGGGAUAUACAGGACAAAGAGCAGGUAGGAACAAAAGACUACUGUUAAUAACAGGAAACCCAGGAGUUCCCGUCGUGGCACAGUGGAAACAAAUCCAACUAGGAACCAUGAGGUUUCGGGUUCGAUCCCUGGUCUCACUCAAUGGGUUAAGGAUCUGGUGUUGCCAUGAGCUGGAAUGUAGGCUGCAGACGCAGCUCGGAUCCUGUGUUGCUGUGGCUGUGGUAUAGGCUGGCAACUGUAGCUCCAAUUUGACCCCUACCUGGGGAAGAGAGGUUCGUGAAGAAAAAUCAGGGCAGAAACCAUCAAAAUCUCUGACAAUGUAUUUUCUGGGGAGGCAUCGGGUAUUUCAUUAAAUCUAAGAUACUAACAAUUAUAAGAGGAAUCAUCAUUUUAGGGACCACUAAGAAAAACAGAAACAAGCUGCCAAUUAAACUAUGACAAAAUGCCUUCUAGGACCUCAGAAUUUCCAUUUAGGCUUAUUUAGAUUUAGAUGUUUAUGCUAUAGGGACACGUUGUGGUGCAUAUUUACAGUCUAACACAUGUGGAUGUCUUUCCAGUUUAGUCUCAUCGAUGUUCGUGCUGCUGACACAGCAAUUUUUUCUUUUUCUUUUAAAAAAUGCUUGGAUGGUCCUUUCCAUUCAGCAGUUUAAUACUGGAACUUUCUGGAUUUCUCUAGAAGGUGUCAAUGACAGGCUGGCAAGCAACAACCGGGAAUUGAGUUUCUUUUGGUGUUACCUGGACUUUUAGGUUAACUAAAGCAGCCCAUUUGUGGCUUCUCAAACAUACAUUGUACACCUGCUUUAAUCAUUAAAGAAAAUGGUGCAUUGACCAGAAGUGAAGAAUGUCCACCUUAAAAAUAAAGAUGAAAUCCCACCCUUCCUGGGACAGCAAGGCUGGUGCUUCUUCGAUGAUAAGAGUCCUUUCCUGGGUGUCAAAGCCAUACUGAUUGGCUACUAGCUGUCUUUAAAACAAACACAUAAAAAACCCCAAAACGCGAAGGAAUGUAUCCAUGAUUUCUUUAGUGUUCCUCCUCUAACGAGGUAUAAAACUAAUGAAAACCAUGCUUCUCCAGAGCAGUUCCUUAGAGUUCUUGGAGAGGUUUCCCCGGGGAGAGUCAGUCCUCAGUCUGGCUCAGAUAAAACUCUUUUCUAUUCCUAUUAUAGGUGGUUCAUUAAUUACUUCUGUCGACAAUGCCCUGAAAUCGCCAAAUGCAGGGCCGCAAGGACCCACCACUAGAGCAGGAUGGCAGCCAGUCGGUGCACCGAGCACAGCAACCGCACUGGGUCCUCGCGGGGAGCCAGCUCCACGCAGGCUCCUAGCCACCCCGAGGCAGAAGUGGGGACGGCCAGGAAAGGGAGCCGGCACCCACCCGGGGACAAGAGACUUCUGGUCGGGGGAGGCCGGGCAGCACUUGGAGGGGAAAACCCUACCUGUGAUUGUUCCAGGCCCCCUCCCUAACCCUCUCAGUGACCCGCGCUGAGCAGGUACGCAGGGGCUGGUGAAUUCAUUCCUUUCACACAGAGGGCCCAAGCAGUGAUUGAAUCGCUGGAAAUUCAGCAGUGAACCCAGCAUGAGCGUCCCCCAGAAAGUGGACUAACUUCUCACAGGGGCCACAGACAGGGGAGCAGAUCCUGAGUCAGUGGGCGGUGAAUAUCUGGAAGUUUCUAGAAGCAGGUGGGGGCGGGCGGGAUUGGGGAAAGAUGAGGGUGGCUGCUGCUGAAAUGAAUUGGCAGGAUAAUGCGCCCCAAUUGCUGGGAGUCCAUCCUCCAUGCUCAUUAAAAUCCACACCUUCCUAUUUUAUCUGAGACUGAGGAUUUCAAAACACACACACACACACACACACGUGAACACACACGGGAUCUCUGGAAGCCACCACCUCAAAGCCCUGCCAGGAGCAAACACUCCCUGGUGAGCAUUCAAAGGCAGGCGAUCAAGACAUACAAGAGAUGCAGGAGUUACAGGGAAGGCGAAGUUCUGAUGAGUUAGAACCAGUGUCCCCUGAGACGUGGACUUGCUCCAAGGAGCAGGACAGAAUGACCUCCAGAGUGUUUUUAAUACACUAUGUUUAUUCUCACUGCGAUGGCAGAGACAAGGCAGUCCUGGAAAGAGAACAGCAUCCAGAGGUCAGCGAAAAUUGCCCGCAGUGGAAAAGCUAUUACCAAAUUUUAAAACACAAUAAAAGAGUUUAAUAAGGUGUCCGGUUUACAAAAUAAAUCCAUAAAAAUCGAUGGCUUUCGUUUUACACCAAUAAUAACCUGGCAGAAAGUGUAAUGGGAGGAAAAUUCCACAUGCAGUCAUGACAAUAAAUAUGAAAUACCCAGGAAUAAUUGCCCUGCGGUGUGCUGAAGUCCACGGUGAGCGCUUUAAAAUGUACUUGCCAAGAAGACACACAUAUCAUGUUCUUCAGAGGGAGCAGAGGAUAUGUAGUUUGAAUUUUCCGUGCUGUGAUUCUCAUUACCCUGGGAUUAAUUUGCUCUGGCAUCUGCAUUCUCCACGAUGCUGUGAACUCCAAGAUGCUGUGUCACCUCCUGCUGUGUUUUAGUACAUGUCCAGGUUCCUGGAUCAUAGCAGGUGCUCAGUAAAUACUGGCUGGCUUAGUGAGUCGAGAUGGAGAGGACCACAUCCAGGCUGUUUUAAAGGAACCACCAGAGGAUCCAAGAUUGAGCCCUAAAGCCCGAAAGAAUGGCUCCAAACCACAAUGGUUUUAGACAAUUAGAAAUUUAUUUCUUUCACUGUAGUAUUCCCGGAACCUUGGCAAAGAGGGUAGCGAUCAGCCUCUUAGGCAUUAUCCCAGCCUGGGGUGAAAGGGACAAAGGACCCACCCCACAAAAGCAGCCGUUCUCGCGGCCCCAUGAAGCAGUAAGAGCUAGAAGUCCCCCUCAGACUCCUCUGUACUGGGGCCAAUGAGGCUCCUUGGAAUGUUCCAGAGACUUCCUUGGGGAACAGGAAGUGCCUUCAAGGCUUUCGAAUGGCAGUGGAAGGAAACCAUUGUUUUUGGAAACAAAAUCUAACCUGGUAACUGCAGCCCUGUCUUCUUAGAAGCUGAGGACCAAAACACAAUCCAAACAGCAGUGGAACAAAAUCUCUAGGCCCUCUCCUUCUUGAAGGCCUUGAUGAGGAAGAGAGAAGGAGCAACUCUUCAGGCGGACGCCCCACUGCGUAGGGAGGAUCCUGAUGAAUUUCUGGUCUGCGGAGAGGUUCAGCGUCUAGUCUGGGAGUGAAAAACUGGAAAGCACAACUGUUCUGUGUAUUUAAAGGGAGGAAGAUUUGAGGGUUUACUGCAAACAGGGGGCGCACUGGAGCAGAGGAGAAAGGAGAGAGCAAACUGGUGGAAGAACCAGGAGCCCAGGCUGGUGACAAUGGUCAGAGACUUUAGGAACCAGAAGUCCCAUGGCUCACCUAAGCCAGGCACAGAAACAGAUGGUUCUCAACAUCCAGGAAAGUUGCUGAGCUCCAUGCCUGGAUCUGCAAAAAGGAUAGGAUGCUGCCGAGGGAGGGAAGAGACAGAGGAGGUCUGAGUUCUGCCAAAGGUCAAACACGAGGUGCAGAAUCCACAGGGAGACUCAGGGCGAGGGUUUGAGAAGACAGCCCUCAAAGGAUUCCUCGGUGUGACUUGCAGGGAAGUUCCAAGAAAGCUCCCCUGAUCCAAAGCCACCCCAACGGCAGGUCUGAUGCCCAUGCAGAAGAUGAUAAACACUCUUGCCCAUCCUGCCCAGAGCAGACCACUCACAGAGCUCAAGCCUGGAAGGACUUUUGCAAGAGCCCAAUUCCUUUCCAACCUCAAGCUUGUCCAUAAAUGACCAUGAGAUCAGGGGAGUGGAAAUAUAGCAAGUGAGGACUGAUGAAAAGAACUGGGGGUGUUUGGACUAAAACAAGAAGGCCUGGGAGGACGAGAGAACCAUCUCCAAACCAGGAUGGGAAUGGGCUUAUCAUCUAUUAUGAUUCUGGAGGGCGAAACUGAAGUCAGAAGAUAGAAGCAGCAGGAAAAAAUAACUUGGCUCAAGGCAAGGGGGGCGUUCUUGCCGCUUGAGAAAGUGAAAGUGACUUCCUAUGAACAGUGAGAGAAGGGGCAGAGGAGGUGAGAGCCUGACCUCCGGUGCUUGGUGCGGAGUGGUGGGGCACAGUGUCCAAGCUGAAAUGGGGUGAGAUUCUUGGAUGGGAUGCCCUGAUUCUAACCCCCCGCUAAGAUCCCAGCAAUAACACCACCUGCAGAGCCCACCAUGGGAAACGGAGCUGCUCACAGGGCAGGAGGUGGCUCCCUGAAGCUGUGGUGACCAAGCACUUUGGGGAUUAUUUCCAGAGUCAGCAUGAGUGUCUGUGAGUGCACGUGGGGACAGCAGGACAGACCCUCAGCAAGGUCUUGCAAUGACCUUCUCAAGUGGGCCUUCCCUGAGCAGAGGGGUUUCCAGAACAUCUCUUUGCCUGAGUCACUGACUUAAAGGCAGAGAAUUGGGGAA